GUGGGUAGAGCUCAGUGGUAGAGCGCGUGCUUCGCAUGCACGGGGUCCUGGGUUCAAUCCCCAGUACCUCCA
rnacentral:tRNA from 1 species